CCCUCUGGGUUGUAAACUUCUUUUAUCUGGGACGAAAAAAGGGAAUUCUUUCNCACUUGACGGUACCAGAGGAAUAAGCACCGGCUAACUCCGUGCCAGCAGCCGCGGUAAUACGGAGGGUGCAAGCGUUAUCCGGAUUUACUGGGUUUAAAGGGUGCGUAGGUGGGUAGGUAAGUCAGUGGUGAAAUCUCCGGGCUUAACCCGGAAACUGCCAUUGAUACUAUUUAUCUUGAAUACUUUGGAGGUAAGCGGAAUAUGUCAUGUAGCGGUGAAAUGCUUAGAUAUGACAUAGAACACCAAUUGCGAAGGCAGCUUACUACACAGUAAUUGACACUGAGGCACGAAAGCGUGGGGAUCAAACAGGAUUAGAUACCCUGGUAGUCCACGCCCUAAACGAUGGAUACUCGACAUUAGCGAUACACUGUUAGUGUCUGAGCGAAAGCAUUAAGUAUCCCACCUGGGAAGUACGAUCGCAAGAUUGAAACUCAAAGG
rnacentral:rRNA from 1 species